AUAAUCUUGUUUACUCUCAUGGACAAUUUGGGUUUUUACCAGGACCUCCAUAGUAAAAGUAAUGACCCCAAUUAUCAUUACUUCCUGUUUCUACAUCAUAACAAUUUGAUUGCUCAGUGAAGGUUCCAAGUCCCUUAGGACUCUUGAGAUUGUUGGAACUAUCAACUACUUGAAUAUUCCUAAAGUAGCUUGCUUUUCCAAAUCCUUGUUCAGGAAAUUGACCACUUCCCAUUUGAGUUGAAGUGUGUUGACCAUUAGGCUCAGAAUUAACAACUUCUCCUCCCCAUUCAAUCAUUGAAGCACUGUCUGCUAAGUAUGAGAAUAGGAAAGAUGGCCAAUAACCCAAUACUAAGUCAUUGCCAAAUUGCAUCCACCAGUGUCCCUCUUUUGGAUCCUAUAACAACAGAAAAAAGAGACAACUCACUUCAUCAAUACCUAUAACAUAUGUAAUGGUUUCAUGUAUGUUGUUUUGGUCAUCAUUUCAUAAAACCAUUUCUUAUAUUCUAUAAUAAAUAUUCAUUUCAGUCGCUCAUGUUUUUCGACUUUUAGCUUGUCUUUGAAAAAGACAAAAUGGUCCAAAAAAAGGACUAGUUUAGUGCAUUUAUAGCUAUUAGUAUAGCUGUUAGUGUCCCAAUCAUCAAUUACAGCAUGGGUCCAUCAUACAUGUUAUUAUCAAAAGAAAUUGAGAAAAGAUGCUAAGGAUCCGUGUAAAGGUGAUUUUAACCAUGUUGCCACUGUCACACAUUUAAUACCAAGUAUAAAGCACUUACCAACAUGAAAAAUUCAAGAAUCACAUACUAUACAACUUAUCAAACAUGUGCAUCUUGAAUUUUCCACAUGAUAGAUUUUAAUAUUUCAUUAACCUUGGGAGAAAGAUGAUAGGUUUGCAAGAAUCCGAGCACUUGGACAUUGCAAUGGUUCAUAUACCAAAAACCUUCUUGAGAAGAAAGAUUAUAUAUAUAGUGCUAAAAAAGUGGUUUAUUGUUGCGGACUAAUAAUGUGAUUUUUUAGGAUUUUACCUUCCAGAUUGUUAUACUGAUAUCAUACUGGGAGUUUUGGUAGCCGGAAAUGGGAGAAAUACUUGCGCCCAUUGCUAUAUUAUUGUUGACUUGAAUAAAUCCUGAGCAGAGAAGAUUGUAGCAACCUGUAGCUUGAUAUGCAUCACUCUACAAAAUGUAAAAAGUUAGUUUGAUUAAAAAAUGGAUAUGUUUCAACUAACACAUAAAAAUGAACAUAAAUGAUGGACGGGAUUGAAAUGUAGACACUAACCGUCCAGUAGGUGAACAGCCGUGUGUUGUUAUCACCGUAUAAAUCUGGGCUCACCUGUUACCAUGCACAUGAAGGCAUUACAAUUUACAAUGAAACGAGAACUUCAAAAUUAAAACAAUUUACAAGUAAAAGAGGACCACAAAAUAAAUAAAUAAAACUAGUGCUCGACUUUGAUGUUUGGAUUAAUGAACUUAAUCCUUAUGUACCUGCCAGCCAGCUUCAAUGCUGUUAAGAUCUUGACCAAAUGAGCCUCCUAAUACCCAGAGCUGUGACAAGCUGAACUCAUUAAGCUGCUGUAUUUUCGGUUCCCACACAUUUAUAGUGGCUUUUGCUCCGUAGUACUUAUCUCCUUCAACAUAUGCUAUAGCAUGCUGCUCAAUAAACAGCACAAUAACACAGAACAAGGAAAUUAGACCAAUGCCGCUUACGACGAAAAAAGAUAACCGGAACCAUAAUAUUGAUAUUUGAUAACACUACUCUACAUUUCUACAAGGCAUUCUUAACAAUUAUUACCUGAUGACCACUUUGGUUAAUUAUAUCAGGGUCUGCUGACCUAGGCUUAGGGAUACUUCUAUGCGUCUUCCUUCCGUAUCUUUUGACUGAGCUAGCUCUCAGAACAUCGUCCUCCUUUGUUCUCCGGAUAGGUAUUGUGUCCUCAGGGCAUUUACCAUUUGCAUGCCACAGUUGAGUGAUGGAACUAGCAGCAUUUGACCCUUCAUUUUGUUUCUCAGAUAACUUGUUCUCAUCAAAGAGCCCUUCAGGGUGGAAGUUAGGCCUCAUCUAAUUAAUCGAAAAAUCGAGUUAGAAAAAAAGGCAUAAAAAUGAAACAAUAAAUGCAUAUCUUGGAGGGAGUAAAUGGACCUGAAUCUUGUGAUCUUUGAGGAAAGGAUGAUCAAAAGCUGGUUGAUUAGAAAUAUGCACACAAUCUAUUAUAUCUCCAUCUGGGCUCUGCAACAUUUUUAAGGCAAAAAUCUAUAAUUUCUUCUUGCUGUCUCAUUUUCCUUUCACUUUCUUUAAUUGACAGAUUCUCCAAGCAUGGGCAUGGUACCAUACUUAUCAUUCAAAACUAAGGAACAGAAGAUCACUAACAAAGUCUAGGAGUUAGUUCUAGAUUUGGUAAUUACAAAGGACCAAAUAUAUAGAGAACUCAUAAAAAGGUAUGCUUCUUUAAAUUUUUGAGAAGGAAAAUGAUAUAUCCUCUAAUUAAAUUUCAUACUCAAAAUAAAGUGAUAUAUUAGAAAAUAAUAUUUUCUUUAUUAAUAAUUAGUUUACAAAUAACAUAUUUCACUUUCUUAUAAAUACGAAGAUUUAGUAAGAAAAUACAUCAUUACUCUUUUGAGAACAUCAGUGGCUUAUAAGAGCAUCUCUAUUGGUAAAUAUUAACUUCAUACUUAUUUGAUCUCACAUAUUAAUUUAUAAUUUAUUAUAUCUCCCUGUGAAAUAAGAACAACAUAUCAUUUUUCCUCACAAUAACAAUCAUCAUUCUUAUUCUUCUCACAACCUACAUCAUUCUUAAUCAAAAAUAUAUUUUUCGUUCUUUCAUUCUUAACCAAACAUAUAUCUUUUUGGUUCUCUCCCCUUGUUCUUAUUUUAAGAACAAAAUUCAUAAAAUAAAGAAGUUUUUCUUCUAUUAAGUGUUAAGAACCAUCAUUGUGGUUGUUCCCCUAUGUAGAAUCUUUCAAUAUAAAAAUAAAACAGUCAAAACUUUCCACUACAGAAAAAGGGUAUACAAGAGAGAAGAAAAGGGUUGAAUGAUACAAGAGAAACUGAUUUUUUUUUUCUUUUUUUCAGUUGAUAAUCUUGUUUACUCUCAUGGACAAUUUGGGUUUUUACCAGGACCUCCAUAGUAAAAGUAAUGACCCCAAUUAUCAUUACUUCCUGUUUCUACAUCAUAACAAUUUGAUUGCUCAGUGAAGGUUCCAAGUCCCUUAGGACUCUUGAGAUUGUUGGAACUAUCAACUACUUGAAUAUUCCUAAAGUAGCUUGCUUUUCCAAAUCCUUGUUCAGGAAAUUGACCACUUCCC
rnacentral:lncRNA from 1 species